AAGCAGCCAUCAUUUAAAGAAAGCGUAAUAGCUCACUGGUCGAGUCGGCCUGCGCGGAAGAUGUAACGGGGCUAAACCAUGCACCGAAGCUGCGGCAGCGAACGUAUCACUUAAAGCGAUUCAGCGGAUGACGAUUGACGGAGCGAAGCGACGUCAAAGCGUAUACAAAGUCGAGUCGGUUUAAGGAUACGUUCGUUGGGUAGGGGAGCGUUCUGUAAGCCUGUGAAGGUGGCCUGUGAGGGUUGCUGGAGGUAUCAGAAGUGCGAAUGCUGACAUAAGUAACGAUAAAGCGGGUGAAAAGCCCGCUCGCC
rnacentral:rRNA from 1 species